GAAGUUUAACCGAGGAAUAAAUUGGACGUAAUGACAGUUUUUGUAUAGAAAAUCUGCCAAAAUAUCAGAAUUAUUCUCUGAUAAGAUUUAUUUUACGUUGUUGAAAUCGGGCCUUAGUAAAAAAAAAAGCCAUAA